rnacentral:rRNA from 1 species
CUCGUAGGCGGCCAACUAAGUCAGACGUGAAAUCCCUCGGCUUAACCGGGAAACUGCGUCUGAUACUGGAUGGCUUGAGGUUGGGAGAGGGAUGCGGAAUUCCAGGUGUAGCGGUGAAAUGCGUAGAUAUCUGGAGGAACACCGGUGGCGAAGGCGGCAUCCUGGACCAAUUCUGACGCUGAGGAGCGAAAGCCAGGGAGCAAACG